rnacentral:rRNA from 1 species
AGUCGACGAUGAAUCUUCUAGCUUGCUAGAAGUGGAUUAGUGGCGCACGCGUGAGUAAUGCAUAGGUUAUGUGCCCUUUAGUCUGGGAUAGCCACUGGAAACGGUGAUUAAUACUGGAUACUCCCUACGGGGGAAAGUUUUUCGCUAAAGGAUCAGCCUAUGUCCUAUCAGCUUGUUGGUGAGGUAAUGGCUCACCAAGGCUAUGACGGGUAUCCGGCCUGAGAGGGUGAUCGGACACACUGGAACUGAGACACGGUCCAGACUCCUACGGGAGGCAGCAGUAGGGAAUAUUGCUCAAUGGGGGAAACCCUGAAGCAGCAACGCCGCGUGGAGGAUGAAGGUUUUAGGAUUGUAAACUCCUUUUGUUAGAGAAGAUUAUGACGGUAUCUAACGAAUAAGCACCGGCUAACUCCGUGCCAGCAGCCGCGGUAAUACGGAGGGUGCAAGCGUUACUCGGAAUCACUGGGCGUAAAGAGUGCGUAGGCGGGGUAAUAAGUCAGAUGUGAAAUCCUGUAGCUUAACUACAGAACUGCAUUUGAAACUGUUACUCUGGAGUGUGGGAGAGGUAGGUGGAAUUCUUGGUGUAGGGGUAAAAUCCGUAGAGAUCAAGAGGAAUACUCAUUGCGAAGGCGACCUGCUGGAACAUUACUGACGCUGAUGCACGAAAGCGUGGGGAGCAAACAGGAUUAGAUACCCUGGUAGUCCACGCCCUAAACGAUGGAUGCUAGUUGUUGCCUUGCUUGUCAGGGCAGUAAUGCAGCUAACGCAUUAAGCAUCCCGCCUGGGGAGUACGGUCGCAAGAUUAGAACUCAAAGGAAUAGACGGGGACCCGCACAAGCGGUGGAGCAUGUGGUUUAAUUCGAAGAUACGCGAAGAAACUUACCUAGGCUUGACA